rnacentral:rRNA from 1 species
UACGGAGGGGGCUAGCGUUGUUCGGAAUUACUGGGCGUAAAGCGCACGUAGGCGGCUUUGUAAGUUAGAGGUGAAAGCCCGGGGCUCAACUCCGGAAUUGCCUUUAAGACUGCAUCGCUAGAAUUGUGGAGAGGUAAGUGGAAUUCCGAGUGUAGAGGUGAAAUUCAUAGAUAUUCGGAAGAACACCAGUGGCGAAGGCGACUUACUGGACACAUAUUGACGCUGAGGUGCGAAAGCGUGGGGAGCAAACAGG